AGGAAGGACAGGAUAGGUGCUCAUAAGUUGAUGCUCACCAGAUGUCCUCCAAACACACAUAUAAUGAGGCUCAAAUUAAGUGCACUGCUCAAAAGUUAAGUACUUUGGAAAAAAACCUGCAGUGGUUUGAAUAUAAACAGCAACAUGUUGGAAAAAAGUUCACACAAAAUCUUCCCCUCAGGAGUUUUCUGUCAAGGCCUGGGGAAGGGUCCAUCCUGCUCUCAGGGUAGUGGUAGAUCUUUGUCCAGCUCUGACAGGCAAUAUUUUGCAUGGAGGGACCAAGAGGAUGAAACCCACCUUGCUCACCCUUUGCCAAGUGGAUGCAACUGGCAGGCAAAGGACUCAGCCAAAAAAGCCCAGCUGGAGGUGUUCAAGACUGCCCUCAGAACACAGAAACAGGCACUUUGCUUAUGGCUCAUAUUUGACCUUGCCAACUACACAGGAGUGGACUUCACCUAAAGACAAAACCCUUCUUCCAUUGCUGGACCUCUGCUUGGCAGGCAGAAAAGCAGCCACAGUGAGCCAAGAGUUAUUACAGCAGGAAAGGAGGAGGGAGCUGUCAGAAGGCACAGCAGAAAAAAAAAAAGAAAGUUCCUUUUCAAGCAGUACCAAAUUGAAGGCUAAAACCCCUGGUAACAGAAGGUGGGGCUGGCAAAGGUACACAUGUUAAGAAACUAGAGAAAGUCCCAGAAGAAUUAACACCUCAAAUAAAGAGCAACUCCAAGUACAGAUUCUGCACAGGAUGAAACUGAGAGGGUUUCAAAAAUUACAGCUUCAAAAAGGUGCCUGCCUCUCUCUGCGUGGAAGGAGACAGAGGGUGAUUCACCACAGCUCAGAAGCAGUCGUGCAAGACACCACAGCCGCUCAGCAGGGCUCCCUCACCAAAAUGUCUUUUGGGGAGAACAGAAAAAUGGACUCCUGACUCUUCGCUUGCUGCAUGGGUGGCAUGAGCUGGGAUCCCUCAAGAAACUAAAUCAGCAACUGGUUGAGGGAAAGGGGUUUGCAGCCUGGAGGCUGCAAAACACACUGCUGCUAUUACUGCUGCAGUAGCCAUGCUGACCUCCUGCCUCUGCUCACUCUGGAAGCUGGGCUGGAGCUGGAGGUGCAGAGUAUUGUGCAUUCCCAGGACCAGCAGUGACACCAGGUGAGCCCACAGGGAGCACAAGAGGUGCAGAGGUGCCCUGGCCAGCUUCAUAUCAGCUGUGAAAAACUGCUUGUGGAACCAUGGCUACUGCUUUUACCAUUUCAACAGCAGGACAGUCUGGCUCUGGAGACCCUUUGUUUGGAGAUGUCACUCAGAAUUGAGGUUUUCCUGGCUCCUCUCAGAGCCUCUGUGAGCACUGCCAGGGAGUGAAGCAGGACCACACGGAAGGCAAGAGCCCUGUGGGGUGAUGGCUCAUCUCCCUGCUCUCAGCACGGGCAGAGCCCGGAAGGCUUUGGGCAGGGGGGAUGAGUCUGGGACUCACUGCUUGGACCCUGUUACACCUCUGUGAAAGCGUGGCUGUGAUGUGCAGAGAGCAAAACAUGGGCAGUGAGCGAACGCUCCGAGGGAGAUACCACCAGAAAAAUCCCAGCUCAACAGGAAGGGUGGAGAGGUGCUGACCACCUGAGCAGGGAAGGGUAAGCCAUUAAAUCAGCCUGCUUAAAAGCUGCAACAUGGGCUUAUUCACCUCAAAGCAACUAAGUGAUAUGCAGGAUUUACUGUUUAAAGAAGAAUUUCACAGCCUUUUUGUUGGCUUGCAGACUUACAUCCCUGUGAAACUCUAUCACCUCCUCCCUUUCCCCUCUCAGCUCUGUUUCUGCUCUUAUUUUUUCCCAUGUGCUUUCAUGAAGAUAGUGGAGAAAAAAAAAUUAAAGAAAAAACGAGAUAGGAAACAUGAAAUCUGUGAGACCAGUGGGAGGGAAAGUGGUUUUCUUGUUGCUCAUUCACAAGCAUUCAUCUGAGCAGGGAAAAAAAAUCCCUACUGAAAUCUGGGAAUAUUUCAUGUAUAAAUUUACAACUGCUGACAAGACAACCCUACAUAUUUCAUUUACACAAUGAUAAGGAAAAAGCUGAAAUGAUAAAUCAGCUGCAAAAAGAAAAAUUGCUACAAGUAUCUGUCCUGGAAAAAGUGAAUAAACAAGGGGAUCAUAUACAUAUGUACUGGUAGUUUUAAAAAAUGGUUUGGGUUUGUAUUACUAGGAAUUAUAUGUACAGAGAACCGGUAAAUUAUGAGUGUCUUGAUUUUUGCUUGGUUUUUGCUUACUUUAUCUUUUCACUGGCAACAGCAGCACACAGGGAAGGAGAAUUUGAUGCAAAGUGAACGACUGACAAAAUGGGCUUUUUCUUUCUCUUGUCCCCUCCCACUGUCACAGUGUCUAGACAAUCCAUGAAUAAAAACUGCUUGAUUGCAGCCUCUUGUAAAAUGUGACAGAGGGUGUUACAUGCACACAUCUUUUCAAGCCAAGUCCCUGAAAGUUGUCUGUUCUUGGCUCAAAGAAACAGCAUCGUGGGGAGUUGGCUAAAUGGGAGAGAAUACAUGUAUGAGUGUACACGCCUAAAGUGAUUUCAGCUUACUCAGGGGUUUCAUAGACAAUGAAUAUCACCUCCAUUCAGCACUGGCCUUUGUGUCAAUGAAUGGAAUCCAAAAACUAAUCUCCUUCAGUAUCACAGAGCAGGAUUUUAAUAUCCAAAAGCUUCAUCUCCCUGCAUGUCAGCAUUUGGAGCUGUGGAAGGCUGGAAUUAUUCAGCCAGCUCUGAGAUCACCAAACAAAAUCUGGACUUGUUUUACACUAAACUCUCUAGAGAUGAGCACACAGUGUUGCUCAUCCAAUAUGCUGUGCAUCUUAGAGUAAAGGAACAAGUUUUUAAUCCAUUUCCACUAGGAAAGGCAGCAUUUCUCAAAUGUGUGAGCUAUGGGUCGCACAGCAUUACCAUAGUCUGACACUGGUAAUGUUAAAAGGUGUGUAACUAAUUAUUAAUGAAACUUAUUAAAAUGAACUAAUUAAAAAGAACUUUUCUAAUGCAAGUAAGUUGAAUUUGGUUAUUUUGAAGUUGUGUUUUUGUGGGCAAUGUAAAACGUGUUUUUAUGAAAAUAUAAACCCCUCCAUUUUCAUGGGUUUUGAGACUUCCUAAGAGACAAAUGAAAAUAAACAUCAUAUUAUUUGUCUCCUUUCUUGUCCUUAUUACAUUUCUUGGACUCCAAUAUUAACAUUGCAAGCAAUCCAACAUGUGUCUAACCAGAAGAGUAGUUUCCUCCCACAUUGUGGAAACAUUAGUCGACAAGGAUACAAAAUUCAUUAUAUCAUUAUUAAUCAUUUAUAUAGUCAUAGCACCUUAAUCAAUUAUAGGUAGGAUACAGAUGAAGGCUAAGGAGAUGUAGUAACAUUAUUAUUAUUAUUACUGUAAAUCAUCCUCCUUCAGUUUUUCUUUUUGUUCUUGAUACAAAAUGGAAGCCAAAACUGAAACACCCAAAAAAGCCAGACAUCCACAUCAUUAACAAAAACAAAAGCCGUCCUCUGCUAGCUAAUCAAAACCUAGGAAAAAUCCAAGAGUAGGAGGAAAAUUCCUUUUUUUAUACUUCUAUUUUAAAAGUAAAAGCUCCAACAUGUGAUAGCUGAAAAGCCAAAAGUACUGAUUAACCUUUGCUUCUGCAGUAGUAAGCAUAUGGAUGGGGGGAAGAAUGGUGUAAAUUCACUCCUUCCAAGCAUCAGAAGUUUUCUCAUAAGCUUUUGCAACUCACAGCUGAAAGUCUGAAUUAUGGUACAUCUUCAGAACCUUCUUUUUUUAGAGUUGUAAGAGAAAAUAGGUCCUAAGAGUGUUUGAGAGAGAGGUACAGUGAGAUGCAGGGAAAAACCUGUCUACCCUGCACCCUUGGAUCCAUGCUGUGGUCUCUGUCCUCCAACCCCUUGCACAUGAAAGGGAACUGGCACAGGAGAGGGCUCCAGCCUGCUGAAGAGAUGGAAAGCAGGUUCAGACCCAGCAGGGUGCAUUCUCUUUCCUCCUGGACUUCUCUGGAAUGAAAUCCAAUGGCAUUUUUUUAAGAUAACUUCUCUCAGUAAAAACAUGAAAGGGAUAGGCUGGGUGACUGGUAACUGCCUUUUUCUGACCAAGUCUUACAAAUCUUGUCUGGAAAGCAUCAGCAGGGAAGCUGAGUUAAGAAAUAGUUAUGCUAAAAGGAAAUCAGAAGCAAAAAGUCCUUGGCUUUUAUUCAGUCUCUGUGGUGAACAGGCAUGAAGCAAACUAAGGGUUGCAUCCAGCAUGGCUGUGAAAAAUGAAACCUCUAAGGGCCAUCUUCUUGGUGCUUUAUGUUUUACUGAAAGCAUCACAGAACUAUCAGUCUGUGACAUCAAAUAAACCAAAUGUUAUGAGCUACCGUAGGAUUUAAUAUUCAAAAUGCCACAUUCUGAGUUACCGUGAAGGUUCAAGGAGGACAGAAAAGGCUUUCCAAGAAUAAGAACUCCAAGAAUUUUUGAAAGAGACUUUAAAAAUGACUGUGGAAUGCCUCCUGCAGGCUGUAUAUGGGAAUAAUCAACACAGAAAUUUACCCCGAAGUUGAAAUGUCUUUACUUUCCAUGCCUAUUAGCAGCUCCUAGAGAGAAACUGAUGGAUUAGGUAUUUUGAAACACAACUCUGAGACACAUUAAACUCCCCAAUUUUCAGAAAAGUCUCACUCACCCACUUUGACCAUUACAAGUCACUAGGAAGGCAUUCCAAGUUGGGCAACAAAUAGGCACUUUAAACCAGUCUUAUGUAGGUCAGUAAUUCUCAUGCUGUCUGCUUGCUGACCUCUCUUUGACUCAUAUCUAUGCUGAUGGGAGCAUUUUGGAUUUCCAGAAUUAAUACUGUGUCAGUUUCAAGCCAAUUCAAAUGAAACAGAUGGAAUAAAACAGCAGCACUUAUUGCAUUAUUUUUUUGUUUUUAUCUAUAAACUCUGGGGCAUUUUAGAGGACUGCCUACAUUCCAGCUUUGCCAGGGAUUCCCCAAUUUUAAGGUCAGAGAGAUACAACAAAUACUUUAAAAUUAAAACUACUGGGUUUUAUUCAUUAUUUCCCAGGCUUGUGGGUUGCAGGUUGCUAUAUAUACAUAUAAUUUUUACACUAAGGUCCAAUCCAGAAAGAAUAUAAUUUUACUGCAUUGUGAUAGAUCCAGUUCAGCUUUGAAUAAAGCUGGAGAUUUGUGUAGAAUUCUUGCAAAUCUACAUGUGCACCACACUUGUCAUGCUGCAUUAAAAAAAAAGUAAAUCAGAGAAGACACAGUACUACCACUGGAUGUCCUCUGACUGUUAAAGAUAUGCAGAAAAUCUCACAUACACAAAGUCAUCCUCAUGAACAAAAAGCCAGAAACACCAGGGCAAAACUUCAAGUAUGUUUCAAAACAACACUCAAAAAUUCCUAGGCUGCAUAAUUUGAUUUUUAAGGGAGAUCUUUAUUGCUUCACUCCCAGAUUCUGCUUUAGUGGUCUGAGCAGAAAAAAUCCCAACAGUUCAAUUGUUUAUCUGCAGCAGUCAAAAGUCAGGCUGUUGCCCAGUGUCCAUGGCCAUCCAUAGCUGGAAGGGCAGGAAGAGCAGUCUCAGCUGAGCUCCUGCUGCCAUACUGCCCUGGUUCAAAGCAAAUGCCUUUUACAGUGCUGGAGUCCUCUUACUAUUGUUUUUUUGUCAGCUUUGGAAGUCCUCUACAAUGGUGGCGGAAGGGGUUCAGGAAAGGGAGCAGCUCCAGCUGCUGUUGAAGAGCAGACCCUGGAAGGGGCUUUGAAGUGCCAUAUUCUGCCCUGCUGUUCCUCCCCAGUACUGAGUGACUGGGGACACAGCCCUGGAAACAGCAGCUUCCUGACACUACAGACAAGGUUUAAGUUGUAACACAUGCCUGCAAAGCGUGGCCCUGUGCUUGCCUUCCCUCUUUUCCCCUUCGGGACAGGAACUAAAAGACAGUUAUGAAAAAUGAAGGGGCUUCACCUUGCCUGUUUAAUUUCAACCAGCUUUGGGGGUCAGGACCAGGGAAGAGGAGGUGCAUGUUGAAGGACUUCACUGAGCUACAACCAGAGCCUUCGCUUCUGCCAGAGGCUGUGAGCACAGCUGUCCAUGGGACAGGGUGAGUGGUUACUCAGGGCCAGGAAGGAAGAGUGAUGAAUGUCUUGGUCCCCCUCUGGCAAGAGAUUUACUACAACCCAGACAAUCUGUUUAUUAUCCAUAUAGCUAUAUGAUCUAUUUAUUACAAGUUAGAGAGGAAAAAGGAAGUCAGUGUUCCAGCUGGGCAGGAGGAACAAUAACCACGUCCAUGUGUUCUUUGAGGGUCACUUGUGGUGGUGGGACUGGCGGGCUGCUGUCUGGUGGGGACGUCACCUGGCAAGGCCACAGGAAGCUGCCUUACCACAAUGCUGUUGGAGCAGCCGUAAUCAAAAGCUCCCCAGUGCAAGAAGAGAAGAUAAACCCUCCAAACUGCCCAUGAAAGGACACGUCUCCACCCUUUUGGUUUUGUGCAGCUUCUUUGCCAGCCAAGUCUGCGAAUGUCAGGGCCUCAUCUUUUUCAAAAACCAGUGAAUUCUCUUCCACUCCCUGUGAUACAUCCCUUUCAGCAAAACCAAACCAGAACAAAACACAAGAAGCAAUUAAAGGCUCACGCUGCAAUCUCUUAAAGUUACAGUGACUGAGUUAUACUUCAUACUGUCUCAGGGCUUUUGUUACUUUGAAAAAAAGAUGCCCCAGAAAAACGCAGUAGUUCAGAGGAAGGGUUCUUCUGUGGUUUUGUUUUUUUUUCUUUUCCCACUAACCUCCAAACUUCACUUGUAAUCUAGAAGAAAAAGUCUUAUGUGUAACUAACUUCAGAGGGAAGGCCCGCAGGUUUUACUCUCAUGAACUGAACAGCAAGUCAGACUCAAAACUGCACAUAGGAUUUUUGUAAUGCUUAAAAUGUAUUAAAAAUCUUUGAAAUUAAGAACUAAUGGCAGCAACUACAUACAAUAAACACACUGCUUACUCUAGAGUUAACCCCCACAAAGGACAGAUCUAUCCCUGGUUCUGAGAGAACACCAUGUAAAUUCAAUGGCUUGAUUUCAAGCUACAUUCCUCCUUCAUCAGGCUGCUUGUGGUAGCCCUAUUCAUGAGCAGAGAGAAGUGGGUGGAUGGUCUGCAUAAGCAUUUUGAGCUAAUGCACCUAAAUUUUGAAGUGCCUUUCAAGUGUGUAAAUUAGAAAACCUAUAGCAAGAGAACAACUGCUGCAAAUGCCAGAAUAAUUUUGUCUUGGAAAGAGAAGAAGUAAAACAGUGUCUCCACUGAUUUCCUCUUUCUUUUCUCCCAUUAGACAUACAGAAAGAUGAUUGCAGGUUGAUUCACACUGUUCUGAUUUUUUUUCUUGCAAUUCUUAUUUUUAGAUUCUACCCAGGAUUAAUGGGUGUUCAUCUGACCCACAGUAUGGGAGCAGUGCAGAGCAGAGUGCCAAAUGUGAAUCAGGAUGGGCAGGGAAGGAAGGGGAGAAAGGGGAAGGACACAGUAAAGAAGUUCUGCCUGUUUGCCACUGUGUACUAUGAAAGAGGCAUAAAAAAAGAUUUUCUCUCAAAAAAAACCCUCACUGCUCCUCCCCAUCCCCCUUCACUCAUGCAGGAAUGAAACAAACCCCUUCUCUGCCUUGUCUGAUUUCUGUGUUGUGACUGAAGAACUUGGAGGAUGUGACAGCAAGAAAAAGGGAGCAAACUGAGUCUCAAAUCAGGAGAUUUACUUUGACGUCUCCUUGCAGACACCAUUCCCUCCUGAAGGGGCUCUCAUUUCUUCUAGGUUGCUAUUGCUAACAUUUUAGUAGAGUUAUUUAAAUCCCUUAUUUGUCCAGUUACACUGGGGGAAAAAUGCUCUUCUUCCUAAAUAUGAGCAAACAUUUGCCUGUGGCCAGCCCACAAAGAAACCCCCAUCUUUCUCACCAUCAUUGUAGCUGGCUUCAUCUACAACAGCAAAGAUGCUGACAGGCAGGGUCCCCAAAUUGGGUGGCAACCACACUGUGAUAAAGGCAGUGAGUGCUGAAAGUACCGGCUGCACCAGUAAUGGGGACACACAAAAACCCUGCCUGUGCUCACACACCCACAGAAAAGCUCUCUAGUGAGACCUGUUCUCUCAAACCCAGCUGUUGCCACUGUGGUUUCAGCGUAUGACAGCAGCUUACUGCUAGAUGACAUCUUAGGUAAGUUUACUGUGUCUGGACGGGGUUCAGUUUCUCCACAGCGUCCCAAACCCUGCUGUGUGUGCUUCAGCUUUGUGAGCAGAGCAAUGUUGAUAACUCACCCAUGUUUAAGUUAUUGCUGAGCAGUGCUCACAAAGCAUCAAGACCUUCUUUGUUUCUUACUCUGCCACUGCAGCAAGUAGGCAGGGGGAGGUUUGGGAAGGGACAGAGCUAGGAAAGCUGAACCCAACUGAUCAAAGGUAUAUUCUACACCCUCAGUGUGUGAGGAAGAGUCCACAGAUGUUUCUCUAUUUCUGUGUAUUUAAAAAAAGAAAGGCAAAUGGAUGAUAAUCUGGAGCAGACAGGGAGGUUUCACUGAAAGUGACUUUGUGAUACACCUUGUGAAAUACACAACUCCUGACAAUUCAGGAGAUCUAGAGAUCUUGUCAGGAGUUCCUCCCUGUUUCCUAGCACAAAGAGACAAAAAGCUUGAAGGCCACUGAAUUUAAUAACUGAAUAGGAGACACAUGUCAGAUUUGUGGAUUGUGUUGUAAAGGGAAAAGGACCUCUUGAUAGGGAACAAAUUGACACUCUAAGCCAGGACGGCUGGGAGGGUCAGGUCAAAUAAGCAACCAGAAGCACAUUUAGCACAAACCAGAUAUUGAGGAGAACAUCAACCAAAGCAAAGGCUGUGAGAAGAUGACCCUUUUCAGUUGUUUAUAUGCUAAUUACAGGAUUCUGAAAAAAAUGGAUAAACCCUCUGCCUAUAAAGUAGCGAUGCAAAAUAGUACUCUUGAGAAAUAAUAGCUAUAUUUAGACUAUUAUAUUAUUAACAGAAACAGCUGUAGCCAAUUUAAAAAUUCCAAAUGGAAGAGGGUGGUGCCAGUGUCACAAAUGACAUUUGAGUGACUGAAAACUAGGAAAUAAAUAAUCAUGGAGAGUUACAGGGAUGAUGAGCUUCUUCAACACUUACGUAGAAGAAGUACAAGAUCCCUUCCUGUGUUACUCCAGAGACCUUAUGCCACUAACACUAACACAGGCCUGUCCUUUCCAAAGGGCUACAAAUGACAAGUUACUAGCCCCUAAAUUCAAAAAAGGAUUGGCCUUCCUAACCUUGUGAAAUUAAGUUUUGCCAAUGAGUCAUCUACAACAUUGGCCUCGCAGCACCAAAGGGGACAGGAGCAGCUCAGAGCACGAUCACAGCUAGGUGAAGAGCUGAGCUCCACCACACACGAGCUAAACCCCGCAGUGGUCACACAAGCACCCACCCCACGUGCAGCAGAACCCCCUCACCUCCUGCCCCAGGCAGGGGCUGCUCUGGGCAGAGCUGCAGUGCUGGCACACGCACAGCUCACCGCUGGUUGAGUAAUGCAGCUACACCUGAACUGCCUGUGAGUCAUACGUGGGUUAGCACGGGAGCCAGAGCAUCCCUGCUCGAGACUUUGUCUCGGUAGAGAGGAAACGGUCACAAACCAGAAAGUUACUGGUUGUUUAGACUGAAAAGGACCAACGCUUCCUGUGCAAAUAGUUAACAUUGUCUGCAAUCAAAUCCAGCGCAGAAUUUGAUACAAUAUGUGAGCGUACGCUCUUUAUAGAUACAUAAAUUAAAAUCCUAGUGCAUGCUUUCUGAGAAGCAAUUCCACAAAACUAGAGUGAAUGGGAGUCAAAUCAGGCUGAAGGCAGAACAUACAGAAAGUUGCUGACAUCUGCAAGCAGUUUAAGACAUUUCCUAAAUGCCUACAGUGUUACAACCAUGGAAAUGGGCUAGAUAAAAAUAACACCCAACCAAAAAAACCCAACAGCUGGGUUUAUCAGGGAAGUGAAAAAACACAUAAAAUGUUAUAUAGAAAACUAGUACAUGAAAGGGGAAAGAGGAAGAGCUAAUAAGAAGCAAAAAAACCUAAAAUAAAGAUUAUAUACAGGAAUCAAGAAUAUACUGGAAAAAAAGGCAGCACAUAAAAUCAGAAAUACCUUUUAAAUUUUUUAAAGCAGAUUAUGAAAGAUGAAUCUGGAACAAUAAAAAUUGUAGAAACAUUCAUUACAAUAUGACAGCAGCAGAAGUUAUUCAGUAAAUGUUUCCGAUUAGCACACAGGUAAAAGGCUGGAUGAUCUGUUUAUGAUGAUAAUGAAAUAGCUUCCCACCACAGCAGCCCCUGGAGAGGGGAUGUUAAGCAGUAGAUAAAUGAUUCUGGGUGAUUCAGAUUAGUUGCUAGAAAUAAACUUGUCUCAGAAGGUUUACAGAGGUAGCCUUGGAGCUGCUACUGCAUCUAAAGCAGUUCUUGGCCCUUGGGAAAGGACCAAGGACAGGAAGAAGGCUCAUACUGGGCUACUAUUUGAGAAGGGUAGAAAGUAAUUACAGGCCAGUUGGAUGAGUCUCCAGUAUUUUGCAGAGGAUAGAACAACCAACAUCGGCUUCAAUUAAUAACUUUUUCCAAAGCUCUGUAAUUAAAGUCAAUUAACUUGGCUUUAAGGAAAAUAGAUCCUGUCAAACUAAUUUGAUGUAAUUUCUUGCAAAAAUUACAAGUACACUUGAUGAAGGCAGCAUCGUUAACAGUAUUACAAGCCUAAGUCAUUUGACUAGUUCUGUAGAAUAUUUUUAUGAAUGCUUUGAAGCCUACAUGGAAUGUCUCCAUCUGUACAGGGAGAGCAGGACUCCUUUGGUGGAGAGCAUCAUAUAAGAUCAGGCUAAAACCUUGAACCUAUUUUAUACUAAAGUCACUUUUGAGUCCACAGCCAUAUUAGAAGUAUUUAAAAGCUGCUAAAUUAAGGAAGCCAAAGUGUAACUGUAAAUUGGAAACUAUUUAUUAGCAAACAAAUGGGUUCCUGUAGGAUUCCACAGGCAUUGGUGACCAUCCCUUUACUAUUUAAUAGCCUUACCAGUGACCUGGAUGAAAGUUAAGUCAUUGUGGUUAGACAUGAGACUGGGAACAGCAGAAAAGUAACCACAAAAGAACAAGCCUGACACAGAGCAACUGGGGUCUGUAGAAAGAUGGGAGAAACCAGUUUAGGUGUUAAUAUGGCCAAGUACAAAAUCCCCUUAUGAGAAUGAAGAAUCCAGGCCAU